GAUGAACGCUGGCGGCGUGCUUAACACAUGCAAGUCGAGCGAUGAAGUUUCCUUCGGGAAACGGAUUAGCGGCGGACGGGUGAGUAACACGUGGGUGACCUGCCUCAUAGAGCGGAAUAGCCUUCCGAAAGGAAGAUUAAUACCGCAUAACGUUGAAAGAUGGCAUCAUCAUUCAACCAAAGGAGCAAUCCGCUAUGAGAUGGACCCGCGGCGCAUUAGCUAGUUGGUGGGGUAACGGCCUACCAAGGCGACGAUGCGUAGCCGACCUGAGAGGGUGAUCGGCCACAUUGGGACUGAGACACGGCCCAGACUCCUACGGGAGGCAGCAGUGGGGAAUAUUGCACAAUGGGGGAAACCCUGAUGCAGCAACGCCGCGUGAGUGAUGAAGGUUUUCGGAUCGUAAAGCUCUGUCUUUGGGGAAGAUAAUGACGGUACUCAAGGAGGAAGCCACGGCUAACUACGUGCCAGCCGCCGCGGUAA
rnacentral:rRNA from 1 species